CCUACGGGCGGCAGCAGUGAGGAAUAUUGGUCAAUGGACGAGAGUCUGAACCAGCCAUGCAGCGUGAAGGAAGACUGCCCUAUGGGUUGUAAACUUCUUUUAUAUGGGAGUAAAAUGUUACACGCGUAGGAUUCUGUAAGUACCAUACGACUACGGAUCGGCUAACUCCGUUCAAGCAGCCGCGGUAAUACGGAGGAUGAGAGCGUUAUCCGGAUUUAUUGGGUUUAAAGGGGGCGUCGGUGGAUUGGUAAGUUAGUGGUGAAAGUUUGCGGCUCAACCGUGAAAUUGCAGUUGAAACUGGCAGGCUUGAGUGCAGUAGCGGUAGGCGGAAUUCGUGGUGUAGCGGUGAAAUGCGUAGAGAUUAGGAGGAACACCAGUGGCGAAGGCGACUUUCUGGACUGUACCUGACGCUGAGGCGCGAAAGCGUGGGGAGCGAACGGGAUUAGAUACCCGGGUAGUC
rnacentral:rRNA from 1 species